AUUGAACGCUGGCGGCAGGCUUAACACAUGCAAGUCGAGCGAGCGGCGGACGGGUGAGUAAUGUCUGGGACACUGCCUGAUGGAGGGGGAUAACUACUGGAAACGGUAGCUACUACCGCAUACCAUCAGAUGUGCCGAGAUGGGAUUAGCUAGUGGGUGGGGUAAUGGCUCACCUAGGCGACGAUCCCUAGCUGGUCUGAGAGGAUGACCAGCCACACUGGAACUGAGACACGGGCCAGACUCCUACGGGAGGCAGCAGUGGGGAAUAUUGCACAAUGGGCGAAAGCCUGAUGCAGCCAUGCCGCGUGUGUGAAGAAGGCCUUCGGGUUGUAAAGCACUUUCAGCGAGGAGGCGUUACUCGCAGAAGAAGCACCGGCUAACUCCGUGCCAGCAGCCGCGGUAAUAC
rnacentral:rRNA from 1 species